UCCAGCUCCAAUAGCGUAUAUUAAAGUUGUUGCAGUUAAAAAGCUCGUAGUUGGAUUUCUGGCAGGAGUGACCGGCCACACACUCUGUGUGUGAGCUGCGUCAUUCUGGCCAUCCUUGGUGAGAUCCUAUUUGGCAUUAAGUUGUCGGGUAGGGGAUAACCAUCGUUUACUGUGAAAAAAUUAGAGUGUUUAAAGCAGGCUUAUGCCGUUGAAUAUAUUAGCAUGGAAUAAUAAGAUAGGACUUUGAGUCUAUUUUGUUGGUUUGCGAGUCAAAGUAAUGAUUAAUAGGGACAGUUGGGGGUAUUCGUAUUUCAUUGUCAGAGGUGAAAUUCUCGGAUU
rnacentral:rRNA from 1 species